GGCCUGGAUAGCUCAGUUGGUUAGAGCAUGGUGCUGAUAAUGCCAAGGUUGCAGGUUCAAUCCCUGUAUGGGCCA